CCCUUAGAUGUCCUGGGCCGCACGCGCGUUACACUGAUGCAUUCAACGAGCUUAUAACCUUGGCCUGAAAGGUCUGGGCAAUCUUUUGAACGUGCAUCGCGAUAGGGAUAGAUUAUUGCAAUUGUUAAUCUUGAACGAGGAAUUCCUAGUAAACGCGAGUCAUCAGCUCGCAUUGAUUACGUCCCUGCCCUUUGUACACACCGCCCGUCGCACCUACCGAUUGAAUGGUUCGGUGAAGAUCUCGGACUUCGAUAUUUAUUCUUUAUUGAGUUUAUAUUGUGGGAAGUUAUCUAAACCUCAUCAUUUAGAGGAAGGUGAAGUCGUAACA
rnacentral:rRNA from 1 species